AAUGCAACAAUUGAUCACCCAAAAAAUAAUGAAUUGCAAAGUAAAAGCUCAGCAAUCUGACAGUUUUAACAUAAACAACUUGUCGCCUUGAGCUCCUUAGCAAUAUCUAAGCGAAAGCACUACAAGCCCCAACUCAAAUUUAUGACCAAGAGAAAAGAAAAAGUAGUUUAAAAAUAUAUUGCUAGCUUAGCAAAAGGAAUUGACUACUCAAAACGCGUGAACGAUCAAAAUUAUAGCUGAACUUGAGCAGCAUAAAAAUUUUUUAUGCGCAUUCCAAGACAACAUCAACAACAGCAACAGAAACAGAUACGGAUAUAACACGAAGUAACAGCAAAAAAAAAACAGAAACAAAAACAAAAAGAUCAAAACAUGACAAUAA